rnacentral:rRNA from 1 species
CUACGGGGCGCAGCAGUGGGGAAUAUUGGACAAUGGGGGAAACCCUGAUCCAGCAAUGCCGCGUGUGUGAAGAAGGCCUGCGGGUUGUAAAGCACUUUCGGUUGGGAGGACUGCUUCUAGCACUAAUAUUGUUGGAAGUUGACGUUACCUUCAGAAGAAGCACCGGCUAACUCCGUGCCAGCAGCCGCGGUAAUACGGAGGGUUCAAGCGUUAAUCGGAAUUACUGGGCGUAAAGCGCGCGUAGGCGGCUAGAUCAGUCGGGUGUGAAAGCCCCGGGCUUAACCUGGGAACUGCAUCCGUACUGUCUAGCUUGAGUACAGGAGAGGAGAGUGGAAUUCCACAUGUAGCGGUGAAAUGCGUAGAUAUGUGGAGGAACACCAAUGGCGAAGGCAGCUCUCUGGCCUGAUACUGACGCUGAGGUGCGAAAGCGUGGGGAGCAAACAGGAUUAGAUACCCGAGUAGUC